AUUUAUUUCUUCCUGUUGGCUGAAAAUCAACAUGACAGAAGAUACAAAAGGGCUAAGACAUCAAUAUUUGGUAUAUGGAAGGGAUAAUCAUGUGCUAGAACCCUAAGCUGAACUGCAGUGAAUUAUUGAACAAGUGUUUUGUUGGAUGAUGGAAUAUUACCUGCAAAGCAGUGCUCGUCUCCUAGAGGCACCUCCAGAGCCUUUUGCAGAAAGGCUUGGGAAAGUUGUCUGAAGAUCUCUACGGCCAGGGAGCUGCUGCCACAUGGCCCUCUUAGGUCUAUCACUUUGUUUUCCAGCGCUAACUUCCUCAGAAAAAUGGACAGAAUAGAAGAACUGUAACAUUACCAAUAUUUUUCAUUAUUUUAUUACAAGAUUUUGAAGCUGUAAGUAUCAAAUAUCAUUAAAUACUUGGCACUUCUGGAUCAAUUCCUUGGCUAGUUCAAUUCAUUUUAGAGACAGGAAAAUUUUUCACAGUGAAGGCAGCCAUUUUAUCAACUUUCUGUGUCAGUUUUAUUCUAGGCUUUUUUUGUUGAGGAUUUCAAGUAUAUUUUAUUUAUUAGAAAUAACAGGGCCAGAGAUACAUCCCUUCAGUUUAAAAUCCUAGAAGAUGAUUUUGGUUAUGAUUCAGUUUUUAAACUGAAAUUGAAGAAGAUAAAUAGCUGUAUAUAUUCCUGAACCGGGUCUCAGUUAUCUGUAGGAUAGCUCCAGCAUGCUCUGAAGGUGUGACCUGGAGUGAACAGUACUUUAAACAAAAGUCUUUAGGCUGUGCAAUUAGCCAGUCAGUACAAUCCUCUCCGUGGCUGUGCAUCUCUUCGUGCCAGGAGGUUUCCUGACACAUGUCCUGGUGAGCUCUCCCUUACUGCAGCACGUACUUGACCAUGAAGUUACUAAGACAAAACAUCACACAAUUCUAAGUUUGCUGUGCCAUGAACUAGGUAGCUUGUUUGCAGAAAUAUUAAUGGAUAUAAAUACAGUGAAUAGUAAUCUGUAGUUUUCUGUCAAUAUUCUAUCUUCUGUGCUCCAGAAAAAACACAACACAGUAUUUCAUUUACUUUGAAGUUAUUUGAAGCUUAGAUGAUCAAAGUCUGUCAUAUUAGAGAAGAAAUUUUUCUUCUUACAUAUUUUAAAUUAAAUGCAACAAUACAGAGCUGUACACAUACCUAGUAAUUGUAAAUAUUUGCCAAGUUUUAAAAAAAACACCGACAGAAAAAUUAAAAAAGUGACAUGAAAAAGAAAAUAAUAGAUCAGUAUUCUGUUCUUAUUAGUUGUAGAAAGAUUUCCUAAGUUAAUAAACCUGA